UUGGAGGGCAAGUCUGGUGCAGCAGCCACGGUAAUUCCAGCUCCAAUAGCGUAUAUUAAAGUUGUUGCAGUUAAAAAGCUCGUAGUUGAAUUUCGGGAUCAAUAUGUCGGUCGUGCCAUUGGUACGCACUGGCAUUAUUGGUUUCUACCUUCUGAAGAACCUCGAUGUCAUUAAUUUGGUGUCUUGGGGAAUCAGGACUGUUACUUUGAAAAAAUUAGAGUGUUUAAAGCAAGCUCGCGCUUGAAUACAUUAGCAUGGAAUAA
rnacentral:rRNA from 1 species